CCUACGGGCGGCAGCAGUGGGGGAUAUUGCACAAUGGGGGGAACCCUGAUGCAGCGACGCCGCGUGGGUGAAGGAGUGCUUCGGCAUGUAAAGCCCUAUCGGCAGGGAAGAAGCAAGACGGUACCUGACUAAGAAGCCCCGGCUAACUACGUGCCAGCAGCCGCGGUAAUACGUAGGGGGCGAGCGUUAUCCGGAUUCACUGGGUGUAAAGGGAGCGUAGACGGCCAUGCAAGCCAGGGGUGAAAGCCCGGGGCCCAACCCCGGGACUGCCCUUGGAACUGGGCGGCUAGAGUGCGGGAGGGGCAGGCGGAAUUCCUGGUGUAGCGGUGAAAUGCGUAGAUAUCAGGAGGAACACCGGCGGCGAAGGCGGCCUGCUGGACUGCGACUGACGUUGAGGCUCGAAAGCGUGGGGAGCGAACAGGAUUAGAUACCCGGGUAGUC
rnacentral:rRNA from 1 species